GAUGAACGCUGGCGGCGUGCCUAAUACAUGCAAGUCGAGCGAACAGACGAGGAGCUUGCUCCUCUGACGUUAGCGGCGGACGGGUGAGUAACACGUGGAUAACCUACCUAUAAGACUGGGAUAACUUCGGGAAACCGGAGCUAAUACCGGAUAACAUGUUGAACCGCAUGGUUCAACAGUGAAAGACGGUCUUGCUGUCACUUAUAGAUGGAUCCGCGCCGCAUUAGCUAGUUGGUAAGGUAACGGCUUAUCAAGGCGACGAUGCGUAGCCGACCUGAGAGGGUGAUCGGCCACACUGGAACUGAGACACGGUCCAGACUCCUACGGGAGGCAGCAGUAGGGAAUCUUCCGCAAUGGGCGAAAGCCUGACGGAGCAACGCCGCGUGAGUGAAGAAGGUCUUCGGAUCGUAAAACUCUGUUAUUAGGGAAGAACAAAUGUGUAAGUAACUAUGCACGUCUUGACGGUACCUAAUCAGAAAGCCACGGCUAACUACGUG
rnacentral:rRNA from 1 species